rnacentral:rRNA from 1 species
AGAGUUUGAUCAUGGCUCAGGAUGAACGCUAGCGGCAGGCUUAACACAUGCAAGUCGAGGGGUAACAUUGUAGCUUGCUACAGAUGACGACCGGCGCACGGGUGCGUAACGCGUAUACAAUCUACCUUUUGCUAAGGGAUAGCCCAGAGAAAUUUGGAUUAACACCUUAUAGUAUAUAAAAACAGCAUUGUUAUUAUAUUAAAGGUUACGGCAAGAGAUGAGUAUGCGUCCUAUUAGCUAGAUGGUAAGGUAACGGCUUACCAUGGCGACGAUAGGUAGGGGCCCUGAGAGGGGGAUCCCCCACACUGGUACUGAGACACGGACCAGACUCCUACGGGAGGCAGCAGUGAGGAAUAUUGGGCAAUGGAGGCAACUCUGACCCAGCCAUGCCGCGUGCAGGAAGACUGCCCUAUGGGUUGUAAACUGCUUUUAUACAGGAAGAAACAGCUCUACGUGUAGAGCCUUGACGGUACUGUAAGAAUAAGGAUCGGCUAACUCCGUGCCAGCAGCCGCGGUAAUACGGAGGAUCCAAGCGUUAUCCGGAAUCAUUGGGUUUAAAGGGUCCGUAGGUGGAUAAUUAAGUCAGAGGUGAAAUCCUGCAGCUCAA